rnacentral:lncRNA from 1 species
CCAAACUAAAAUUACGUAUUUUUCUCAUUACCAGCUGUCAAAAUUGAAGUACUGAAUAACAUGUAUUUAAAUUCAAAUGAUUUUGUAAGUAUAAAGUGAUAAUAAGCUAGCAGGCUUGAAUCUGAUAACUGUAUUAAUUAUCAAUACACACUAUUGUAAGACAUUGAUCGCUUGUCUGUCUUGUAUUUCAGACAAUCAUCAAUAGAUCUCAAUAGUAUGUCAGCAGACAGUCACUCAACAAAUCUAGACAAAACUUUCAGGCAUUCAAUUUCAGAAUAUAUAUAUUCAUUUCAUGAUAAAACAUUUAAAAAAUCAACUGGUUUUACAAACAAAUUUUGAACAAUUGUUCUAUAUGUGCUUGUAAUUUCUAAGGGAUCUGUUUAAAAAAUGUCUCACAGACAAAUUGUUGGUGUAUAAUUGUAAUACAGUUAAACUGGGGGUUACAUGAAAAGGUCAACCUUGGACUCUGAAAAACUAUCCUUUUAAGGGGUGACCAUUAAUUGAGGCUCAAACCCAAUCUAUUAUUACAGUUGUACAUUAGAAGAGGGUGACCUUAAUAAAACCUCAGGUUUUUCCCUUUAGAGAAAAUUAUCUGAUAUCAAGUUUCAUGCAAAUCAGGUAAAUAAAUUAUAAUAUGAACAAUUUGGAAAUCUGAUUAUUCAGAAUAUACACUUAAAAAAUUAACAAAAUAUCCUAUGACGCAUCUUUUGACGCAAAAUGGGUGUCCAUUUAUCAUUAGCAACAAAAUAUGUACCCUUUUCUUUUUGUCUCGACAAUGCACAGCACUCAUUGCUUAAUAUCAUUAUCAAUAUGACAUAAGGCCAAUAUUUAAUAUAUGGAGAAAUGCACUACAAAUGAACUCAUCAUGGAUACUUCAGACUUAAAAUUUCCAUGCCAGACGCCUGAUUUGUCUACCGAGGACUCAUCAGUGACACGUAUACUAGUACUAUAUUACAUACUGUACUGUUUCCAUUCCUAUACCAUCUGCAUAUUGAGAAAUAAGUGUACCAUCUAACAAUGAUCCAUUUAUUUAACAAUGUUAUAUCACUUAAACAUGUAAUUAAAUUCAUCAUCUAUCUAGCAUGUAUAGAGUCUAGAGAGCAAGCAUAUGCAACACAUGGUUAGAUCAUUCAUGCCAUGUUAUUGAUAUUAUCAAAAUUAAAUACAAACUUUUAUGUCAGAAAGAUAAAAUUUCAAAUCGACAAGAAUAUAUGAUUAAAAAUUUCUGUUUGAGCAACUGUUUCAAACAUAAAUAUUUUUCUUUCAAAUUUUUCUGAGUAAACUGCAGAUCAAUGACCACAGACAGACAAUUAUUUUCAGACCAGAUGUCGAGUAGACGACAAUUAAUAUCUUUAAUUCUGUUACUUCCAUCACCUGUUACUUACGUACUUUAUUAAUAUUUAUGUAAAAAAUAAAACAUGUAUUGUGAAUUCAAUAAUUUCGUAAUCACCUAUUGUUGUGGAUUAAUGAAAAAUUGCACUUUUGUGGGUAUAUGGUUUCAUGGUUUAACUAAAGUCUGCUUACAUGUCUAUAGAAUGUUUCUAUUUCAACCUUUACCCAUGAAAUCUCAGAUAAUUGGUAUCAACAAUUAAUACCAAAUCCACAGUAAAUAUUGUUAAAAUGGCGGAAACGAUGAAAAUUGAUAAUGAAAAAAAAUAUCAUAUCCACAACAAAAAAAUGCAAUUAUUUUUUUUAAUAAAAAAUAUCAUUAACAAUAAUCUGAUAAGUGCUACUGCUCUUGUAUAGUACAAAUGUACAAGAUUCAGGCAAAGCAAAUUCUUAUACUACUAGGUAGCGUUCACAACACGAACAGCAGAAUCAAAAUGUUGUAUAUUUUUUUAUUUUACUUAUUUUAACUGUCAACUAGGAUUUUUUACCUCUGUAUUAUGAAGAUAGAAAAUGAAUAUCAAAUCCUUCUUUCUCUCCAUUUACAAUAAUAAGUGUUCAGACUAAACUAAUGGUGCCCUACUUGCAUUAGUAAUAAUAUCAAAUUUCCUUGUUCAGUGAACCAUGAAAUCUUGAUGAAACCCCUAACUUGACCUAUAUUUUUAGUUCAUAUUAUAAGAACAUGUGUACUUAUAAAGCUUCAGGUUGAUGUGACCACAACUUUAUGGUAUUCAAUCAUAACUUUAACCUGUUCAAUCAACCACAAAGUUUUGCUCAAAGCCAAAUUUGGCUUAUAUAUAUUUUUAAAAGUUCAAAUCAUAAUGUUGCAAGUUGACAGACUUGACCACAACUUCAUGAAUCAUGAUACAAAAAAUGUAUUAAACAAACUAAAACCAAAACUUUCCCAUGUUGUGCAAGAACCUAUAGAACAGCCUAAGAAACAGAUGCACCGGUAGACUAGUAAACAAUGAAACAAUAAUUUCUAACCACAUUGUCUUUGGUGGAUCCAGUGGAACCCCUCUUUUUUUUGGCUGAUCAAUACAUUUGAAUGGGGACAUUUAGUUGGACACCCCCCUUUUUGUCCUGGUUUGGGAACCCCCCUUUUUAAAAUGGCUGGAUUCGCCCUGAUAUGGUUGGAAACCCCCACUUUUGCAAAAUGACUGGAUUCGCCCCUGCAUUUUAAUGCUGUUUAAUAUAAUGCCUCAACAGAAGAAAAAAAACACUGUGGCAAGACCCUCUUUGGAAGUCAAGGUUGCUAAAAAAACCUUCUUGUAGUGUUACCAGCAGACAUUUCCUUUUUCUUUCCCCUCCCCUAGCUGCUUUGCUGGAGACUUAUAAAAUAUAUAUGAUGAAAUACAACAAGAAAGCAUGCUUUUUAUCUGUGAAAGAUUAAUGUAUUUUAUAUAUUUAUAGAUAACUGCUGCAAGGUUUCGUUUGAAGAUUCCAGCAACUAUGGUUGAAAUGAUAAUAUAAAAGACAAUGACAAUUAUUCCACAUCUCCUUUAUAUUGAUGAGACUGCAAGGUUUUCAAAGCAAUCGUCUGGAUGAAGAACAGCAAUGUUUUCCUCAGAUGUACUGACUGCUUCCUAAUAAAUAAAUGAACAGAUUUCUAGCAACAUAUAUCCUUCUUUCCCACUAUCCAAUCAAUAGCAUUAUCAACUCCAUGGACAGACAGUGGUGUAGCCAGGGUUGGAACGAUGUGGAUGUGAACUGUCGCAAAUUUUUCGGAAUUUUUUAUGUAGAAAAUUAAAUUUUUCCUGUAUGCAUGUCAGUGUAUUCCCCUGGAAUCCGACAUUGGUUAGAUUUUCGUUUAAUUUAAAAUUACACACCAGUAUACAUUAUAUUUCCAACAGAAUUUUAUGAACAAUACCAUCAUCAUUAAAUUCAGAAAUAUUUAAUGUAAAAGUUUCACACCAAAUCUUAUAUUUGACAUCUCAAAAACAAACCCAUUACUUCUGUAUAUGGAACUUCGGAAUAUAGGAACCGAAGAGACACCCCUCCUUUCCUGGAACUUGAGCCUCCCAAUGGGGUUUUUGAUUACUUGUCUUAACUCAUUGCUGCGAGAGGAUAUGGAAAUACCGGGCGUCCGUCCGUUCAGUCUUGUACAAUUCUUGCCAGAUUUUUGUGAAACUUAUAUCAUCAUGCAGCAAUGUCUUUCACACAUGCAAGUAUAAAUCCUUUCAAAUAUUUUUAGCCAAUAUAUAUGCCCUUUGGAAAUAUAAAUUAUAAACGCAAAUCUCAUUGUAUUUGUUUGGAAGCUUUUUCUCUCGAGAUAUAAAUUAAAAAUAGAAAAAGUGCUUUGUUUAGUUUUUGCCCUCUUGUACAUAAAAAUGUAUCUUGGAUGCGGGGGACAUUGGAUCUCUGAUCUUUUAUUGAAAACAACAUUCAUAUUUGUAUCUAGAUGGAAAGGGGUAUUCAUGAGUCCUGGAAUAAAAACACUUCAUUAAAAUUAGAGUCGUCGUCUUUCGUGCCAAAGGAAACGAUAUUAGGAUAUGAGUUUUCAGAGAUUUUUUAUCCAUCUUGUUUACAUAAAGGAAAAACCACGCAUACGGCUUCGGAAAUGAUUGGAAGCGAUUCUCCUAUUCUCAUAUACAUUCGGAUACUAUUAUGUGUAUAUGCUGUCAACUGUCAUUAUAUAAUUAUUAAAAACAUUUUUUUUUUGUCAAAUUGAUGUGGAUGCUUGAGCAUCUGAGCAUACAUGCAAGCUAUGCCACUGACAGAUAUGUGUUGAUGCCAACAUUUUCAUUCCUCUUAUUUCAACUUAAUAAACAUUAUUUUUUUCAAAUAUAAACUAACUACCCACAUGAUCUUAUUUCAUUCCAAAUCUAACGUUACGUUUCCUGCAUAAUGGUAUGUCUGUAUAUUUUACAUGCAAACAAAUGCAUAAAAUAGCAUGUGGGUGUUUAGUUAAAACAUUUCUCCUUGAUAAUUAUACUCUACCUAUCAAACACAGCUGAUUUUCACUUUGCUUGGUCUAUAAAUAGAAUCUAUCAUAAUAUAAAACAUUUAAGCUUUUAGAAAAGUAUUUGGUGGGACAUACCACAACAGGGAAUGGCAUAUGGAAUGGACAUAAGAAGGGCAUGUUAUGAAAACAAAAUUAUCAAAUUAAGCUAGUUAGAAAAUUUUCUGCAUUCCUUCAUUUCCUUUUGUACAAUUUGGAGGUUAGUAUGGCGUUCAUUACCACUGAACUAGUAUAUAUAUUUGUUUAGGGGCCAGCUUAAGGACGCCUCCGGGUGUGGAAAUUUCUCACUGCAUUGAAGACCUGUUGGUGACCUUUGGCUGUUGUCUGUUCUAUGGUCCUGUUGUUGUCUCUUUGACACAUUCCCAUGAUUUCCAUUCUCAAUUUUACUCUUUCUGAACUGAAAACAGUACAUAAAAAAAGACAGAGGACAACUGGUCAUGUGUAUAUAUUGGACUUGUGCAAGCAAUGAUCAUGGCAAUUGUACAUUUUAAUCUGCUGCAUUAUAAAUGCAUUCUGUACAUAUAUUUUUGUGGGUGCAAAUUUUCAGGCUUAAAUUUAAAUAUUGUUUGUUUGCCCUUUACCGACCGACCCUAUAAAUUCGUUCGGACUAAUUUGUAUUUACCUGCAAGAUUUUAUUUUAUUUUAUUUUUUUCGUUCCAACUGAAAAUCUAAUAUUUGUAUUUCCCGCUCAAAACUUUUUUUAAAGGAAUCAUUGGGUUUUAUCGUCCCUGUACAAGAUUUAGUCUGUUUGGUAUCAUGUGAGCGUUUGAUAUCAACACUUCCAUUUAGAGAUUCAAAGCAUUUAUUUGAAAUCGAUUUUGAAAGUUUCGAAAUCAUGCUAUGACGAAUGUUAACCCUGUGUCUUUAUACUUGAAGAGCAGGGUUCAUUCUAAAAAGCUCGUCCAAUACAAAAUUAUCAACGUGUGCACAAAAUAUUUUGUAAACGGAC